rnacentral:rRNA from 1 species
AGGAUGAACGCUAGCGGGAGGCCUAACACAUGCAAGCCGAGCGGUAUUGUUUCUUCGGAAAUGAGAGAGCGGCGUACGGGUGCGGAACACGUGUGCAACCUGCCUUUAUCUGGGGGAUAGCCUUUCGAAAGGAAGAUUAAUACCCCAUAAUAUAUUGAAUGGCAUCAUUCGAUAUUGAAAACUCCGGUGGAUAGAGAUGGGCACGCGCAAGAUUAGAUAGUUGGUGAGGUAACGGCUCACCAAGUCUGCGAUCUUUAGGGGGCCUGAGAGGGUGAUCCCCCACACUGGUACUGAGACACGGACCAGACUCCUACGGGAGGCAGCAGUGAGGAAUAUUGGACAAUGGGUGAGAGCCUGAUCCAGCCAUCCCGCGUGAAGGACGACGGCCCUAUGGGUUGUAAACUUCUUUUGUAUAGGGAUAAACCUACUCUCGUGAGAGUAGCUGAAGGUACUAUACGAAUAAGCACCGGCUAACUCCGUGCCAGCAGCCGCGGUAAUACGGAGGGUGCAAGCGUUAUCCGGAUUUAUUGGGUUUAAAGGGUCCGUAGGCGGAUCUGUAAGUCAGUGGUGAAAUCUCACAGCUUAACUGUGAAACUGCCAUUGAUACUGCAGGUCUUGAGUGUUGUUGAAGUAGCUGGAAUAAGUAGUGUAGCGGUGAAAUGCAUAGAUAUUACUUAGAACACCAAUUGCGAAGGCAGGUUACUAAGCAACAACUGACGCUGAUGGACGAAAGCGUGGGGAGCGAACAGGAUUAGAUACCCUGGUAGUCCACGCCGUAAACGAUGCUAACUCGUUUUUGGGCUUUCGGGUUCAGAGACUAAGCGAAAGUGAUAAGUUAGCCACCUGGGGAGUACGUUCGCAAGAAUGAAACUCAAAGGAAUUGACGGGGGCCCGCACAAGCGGUGGAUUAUGUGGUUUAAUUCGAUGAUACGCGAGGAACCUUACCAAGGCUUAAAUGGGAAAUGACAGGUUUAGAAAUAGACUUUUCUUCGGACAUUUUUCAAGGUGCUGCAUGGUUGUCGUCAGCUCGUGCCGUGAGGUGUUAGGUUAAGUCCUGCAACGAGCGCAACCCCUGUCACUAGUUGCCAUCAUUAAGUUGGGGACUCUAGUGAGACUGCCUACGCAAGUAGAGAGGAAGGUGGGGAUGACGUCAAAUCAUCACGGCCCUUACGCCUUGGGCCACACACGUAAUACAAUGGCCAGUACAGAGGGCAGCUACACAGCGAUGUGAUGCAAAUCUCGAAAGCUGGUCUCAGUUCGGAUUGGAGUCUGCAACUCGACUCUAUGAAGCUGGAAUCGCUAGUAAUCGCGCAUCAGCCAUGGCGCGGUGAAUACGUUCCCGGGCCUUGUACACACCGCCCGUCAAGCCAUGGAAGUCUGGGGUACCUGAAGUCGGUGACCGUAACAGGAGCUGCCUAGGGUAAAACAGGUAACUAGGGCUAAGUCUAAGGGGG